CUUUACCAAUUUAUUCGGGUCGGUCUGCUUUCGUCAUAUCCUCAAAACCCGGAUUGUGCCAAGGGCUCCAUGAAUCCAUGAAUCACCUCACUUUUAUUUUUCGAUAACUUGCCAUAUACAUCAACACAAGAUUUACACUCACUGGAUUCAAAAGAAUCGAAUUUGGACACAAAAUCUGGAAAAGAGUUUGUGGGGUUGAUUCAUUUUGAGGUAAUUUCUUAGUUUGUUAAUGGGUUUUCUUAGUUUACUGGAUUUGGGUAUUGUGAGUUGGAAUCAAUCUGUUCAGGUUCGUCUUGAUAUUCGUAAUCUAAUCCCCUUGGUAUUGUCUUCAAUGAGAAAUCUGCAUUGAUAUCAUAUAUAUGCUGUUGUUUAUUUCUCUAAAUUUAUUAUUUGGAAUGAACUGUAAUGAGUUGUUACUUCAUAUAGUUCAUAACCUUAGUUUGUAUUCUUCUAACAGCAACUUCAUGACAAGACUCAAACUGGGUUUUGAUUUUUAUAUGAUGUUGAAUACAUGAAUUAUCUUCAAAGGGUUGUUGAUUUGUAGAGCUGGACGAAGCAUUGUUGGAUUAUAUUGACCUUUGAUGGGAAUUUUUUACAUGGGUUCAAUUUUGAGGUUGUUUGUGUAACAAUGGAGAGAAAAUCAUCAGCUAGUAAGAACUUGAAGCCGAGCGGUUCAUAUGGUUUCUUAGACUUGCAACGAUCGAUGCAAGUUGAUCACCAACAAGAUGCACUGCCAUACCGGAGUUUCGUGACCCAUCCCCAACAAUUUCAAGAUGAUUUCCCGGUAAGGGUUUGGAAUAUGCAACAACCUGAGCAACUGGAACCAUCUGCGAGGGGCAUUGAUGGAUCGAAUACGGUGGAAGAAAGUGUUGAUGUGAACAAUGAAGGUGAUAGAGAGAAAAAGGAGUCCCCCUGGCAGCGCGUAAAGUGGACAGAUGAAAUGGUGAAACUUUUAAUUACUGCUGUUUCUUACAUAGGAGAGGAUGUUUCCUUUGAUUGUAAUGGUGUCAGAAGAAAGAGGUCCUCGUUAAAGAAAGGGAAGUGGAGGUGUAUUUCGAAGGUCAUGGCUGAGAGGAGUUAUAAUGUAUCGCCUCAGCAGUGUGAAGAUAAAUUUAAUGAUCUGAACAAAAGGUAUAAGAGACUGAAUGAUAUACUAGGGAGGGGCACUUCUUGCAAGGUGGUUGAGGAGCCAGCACUUUUAGACUUGCUAGACUUAUCUGACAAAGCAAAGGAGGCUGUAAAGAAGAUUUUAAGCUCAAAACAAUUAUUUUAUGAAGAAUUGUGCUCCUAUCACAAUGGGAAUCGGUUGUACCUUCCUCAUGAUCGAACUCUUCAAUGGUCCUUGCAGUUGGCUCUUAGAAGUAAAGAAGACGAUGAUCCUCAGGAGUCAAGGCUGCACAAAUCUGAGGCCAUUGAUGAAGAUGAUCACGUUGUAGAAUCUGUUGUUCGAGAUGAUGAAACUGAGGAAUAUGCUUCACUUAAGGGUAAUGGGGAAGCAUUUGUGGGUUUUGACAAUGCCUUGAACUUUUUGGAUUGUAAAAAAAAAUCAGAUCCUCAUUCUUCAAAUAAUUGUGCCAAUGUGAGCCAAAAUUUCACUGAAGGCAGGCAUGUAGAACGGAUUCAGAGUGAAUCAAUUAUGUCUCGGUCACUUCAGUUGGAGGAGCAGAAACUGCACAUUCAGGCCCAGAUGCUGGAGUUGGAGAAGCAGCGGUUCAGGUGGUUUAGGUGUAGCGAGCAAGAAGACAGGGAGCUGGAGGAGAUGAGGCUAGAAAACAAGUAUAUGAAGCUUGAGAAUGAGCGUUUGGCAUUAGAAAUUAAACGCAGAGAAUUGGGUGCUAAUUAAAUUCAAUGACCAUUGUGCGGGAGCCUAGGCAUUUUUAUUUCAGGUCAGGGUCUAUGGACUGGUAGAGAGAAUAAAAAAAGAACCCAAUAUGAGAAAUUCUACUAGAAUUGGCGAAAGCUUCAUGCUUCUUUGAUGGGUAUGAUGUUGAAACCCAUUGAAGCGAAGAUGUGGCGCUGUUGCCGUCUGAUGUUUAGUUGGAGACUCUAGUGGUUGCUUGACUGGGGAUCCUUACAGAGGAGCUAAAACCUCUUAGUGCUUCCACAAUUGAAGUUGGAGGUCAGAACUUGUACUGACGGGCACAGAGAUUUCAUGUCGAUAAAGAACUGGACAAACUAUUUGAAAUUUAAGCCUAAAGAGAAGGCAAGUGAGGGUAUUGUGAGUUCAACUGCAAUCAAAUCAAGUCAAAGUCUCAAGACUGCUGGGUGGAGGAGAAAAAAAACAAAGAAUCCAAUAUUAGAAAUUGUACUAGAACUGGCGAAAGCUGCAUGUUUCUUUGAUGGGUAUUAUGUUGAAAACCGUUGAAGCAAAGAUGUGGCGUUGUCGUCUUCUGAUGUUUAGUUGGAGCCUUUUAGUGGUUGCUUGACUGGGAAUCUUUAAAUCCAAAGAGAAGGCAGGUUAUGGUAUGUGAGUUCAACUAGAAUCAAAUCAAGUUAGUUCCUUUUCUGUUGUAUGCGUUUAGUUAUUUUCUUAAAUGUCAUGUAUUUUGAGUCCAGCUACAAUCAAAUCAAGUUGGUCCCUCUUUCUGUUGUAUGCUUUUAAUUGUUGUCUUAAAUGUCAUGUAUUGUGAGUUCAGCUACAAUCAAAUUAAACUAUGUUCCUUUUCUGUUGUA